UUCUUUAAAUUAAUUAAACAACCAUACAUCUGCUCUAUAAUAUAAACCAUAUACAUAAGUUGUUUAAUGAGUCUAAAAAAUAGUCUUUUGCUCAUAACAAAGAUCGGAUCUAAUAAAUGAAAGGGCAAAGUUAAUGAAAAUCUGAUAGGUCGAAACGUGUCCAAUUUUAUUUUUUUUAAGAAAUGAAUUGAACAUAUUCAGCUCUUGCUGAUCAUCAAUCAACAGGAGACACAUUCACAUUAGGAAUAUUAGCCAAUAAUGGAUACCAAUUAUUGUAAUAAUGCUCUUGUAACCAAUGUAGUUUGAGGUUGUUCCUUCAGAUGACAUUCCCAGUACCUCUGACCAGUGUAGUUUGAAGUUUUUCCUUCAGAUAGCAUAACCAAUGGCGAGGAUGAAACAUCAGUUGAAGUUUUGUGCAAAGGAUGAACAAAAAGAAAGGUUGGUUUGCAGCACCAAAGUAUGGCAGGAGGUUUGUCAACAAGAGAAAGUAAGUCCCAAAUCAGAUGUUCUCGGACCAUAGAGAUGCAGACUAAUUAUAAAUAAGUAGCAUAACAUUCAAAUGUGAAUAGAGCUCCCGAAGGAGAUCUAUUAACAUAUUACUUAAAUAAAUGUUAAUUCCAUCUUCUUCGAUACUUUUCAAACAAACUCAAUUCUUUUUUCUUUUUCUUUUCAUUAUUUUAGUUUGUCUUUGUUACACAUUUUAAGUUAAAGUUGAAAUAAAGUUUAAAAGUAUGAAUUAAAGGGUGCUCAUAAAAUAAUAAUAAUGAAUUAUUC
rnacentral:lncRNA from 1 species